rnacentral:ribozyme from 14 species
UGAAAAGAUGAGAUCAAGAAGUAAGCAGUUUUUCUGUAUCUCCAAAGUUUUUUCUCUUUCUCGAUGACCUCUAUCCUUCUUGUAUCUUCUUCUCCUUUUCCUUCUUCCUCCAUUCUUAUAUACCCCGCUCCUCCUUCUUUUUGAAGUUGACAAAGAAGAAGACGACGGCGAUGAAUUUAAAAAA